rnacentral:rRNA from 1 species
AUUGAACGCUGGCGGCAUGCUUUACACAUGCAAGUCGAACGGUAACAGGCCGCAAGGUGCUGACGAGUGGCGAACGGGUGAGUAAUGCAUCGGAACGUGCCCAGUCGUGGGGGAUAACGCAGCGAAAGCUGUGCUAAUACCGCAUACGAUCUAUGGAUGAAAGCGGGGGACCGUAAGGCCUCGCGCGAUUGGAGCGGCCGAUGUCAGAUUAGGUAGUUGGUGGGGUAAAGGCUCACCAAGCCAACGAUCUGUAGCUGGUCUGAGAGGACGACCAGCCACACUGGGACUGAGACACGGCCCAGACUCCUACGGGAGGCAGCAGUGGGGAAUUUUGGACAAUGGGCGCAAGCCUGAUCCAGCAAUGCCGCGUGCAGGAAGAAGGCCU